rnacentral:rRNA from 1 species
ACUCAAAUGAAUAGACGGGAGCCCGCACAAGCGGUGGAGUAUGUUGUUUAAUUCGACGAUACGCGAAAAACCUUACCAAGUCUUGACAUCCCCGGCAAAGGCAUAGAGAUAUGCUGGAGGCUACCCGGGAGACAGGUGGUGCAUGGUUGUCGUCAGCUCGUGUCGUGAGAUGUUGGGUUAAGUCCCGCAACGAGCGCAACCCUUAUCGUUAGUUACCAUCAUUAAGUUGGGGACUCUAGCGAGACUGCCAUUGAUAAAAUGGAGGAAGGUGGGGAUGACGUCAAAUCAUCAUGCCCUUUAUGACUUGGGCUACAAACGUACUACAAUGGCUAGAACAAAGAGAAGCAAGACCGCGAGGUGGAGCAAAACUCAAAAAAAUAGUCUCAGUUCAGAUUGAAGGCUGCAACUCGCCUUCAUGAAGUCGGAAUCGCUAGUAAUCGCAAAUCAGCAUGUUGCGGUGAAUACGUUCUCGGGCUUUGUACACACCGCCCGU